CCUACCGCAGCCUCCCGUCGACUUCUAUCGAUUCAGGACUAGGGAGAGCUCUGCGAAGUUUACGAACUGUAGGUGUCGGUAGAGCGUGAUUGGCUGCAAUCGCUGUAAUUGUUAUGUUCGGCGGUUAACGUGUACGUUUGGAUGUUUUGUGUCGUACUAUUCAAGCUCAGAAGGGAGAAAUACAGUGAGAAGAAGAGUGAGACUGAUGAAAAUCUGUAACGCAUACCGGCAGCUUACAAGUCCAGCACAGUUGUGUGUAGAGAAUCCAGUGGCACAGCUAGUCAUUUCCAGAUCUGGAGUCAUCGAUCUUGAUUGGCCACAUAAACUCGUGACCUGGAACUGCUGUCCGCCUCAGCUGCCAACAUCCACUGCAUCUGUCAGGUACUGUGUGUGGUGCGAUCUGCACUUCUGGAGCACCUGCCGAAUCCGUUGCAUCCCUUGAUGCCAGGCCGUUGCAGUACUUCUGCCCAGAACCGUGACUUGUCUAGAAAUUGGAAAAUUCUUAAGGAAGUUGAAUUUACUGGAAAAGUUGGGAGAAUUCCUGUGGAAUUCUGAGACAGUCUGGAGUGACUUGAAAUAUUCUGGAAACAACCCUUUACGCCGUGGAUAACCCGUUUCUCUGUAACGUCAUUUCUUUCUGGAGUGCCUGUCCUGCAGUGUAUGUUAGUGAACUGUGAAUACAGAGAGAUUAUUAUGCACCAGUUGCCCAAAUGCAUGGUUUCUUUUGUUUGGAAAGGCACUUUGGGAGGACAUGACCCCAUCAACAAGUUUUAUAAAUAAGAAAGGCACGACUUACUAUUUCACAUACUAAUGUCCUUGUGUUGAAUAUCUGUGUUGUCAGCUGGGGAACAUUGGCCCACUUUUCCACAUGCUUUGACGCAUUACACUCUGAUUGGUUGACAGGAUGCUGCUAAGCUGUAGCAGCUUUUUUGAAUCUACAUCUCUUGUGAUAUCAGUGUGGUGAUACCAAAUUUUUGAAACUGUUUAUGCCUGUGAAAACUUUCCAAAAAUUUGAGGUAAUGUUCCCUUACUCGGGAUGGCUUUGUCCUGCGUGUUCAAAUUUGUUGACAUGAAGUUAAAAAAUGCAAUGAGCCCAUGUUAAUCGAACAAAAAUGCCAGAAUGAAAU